rnacentral:rRNA from 1 species
UACGAACUGUGCAAACGUUAUUCGGAAUCACUGGGCUUAAAGGGUGCGUAGGCGGCUAUUAAGUAGGGUGUGAAAGCCCCCGGCUCAACCGGGGAUUGCGUCCUAAACUGGAUAGCUCGAGUGAGAUAGAGGUGUGCGGAACUUCCGGUGGAGCGGUGAAAUGUGUUGGAUAUCGGAAGGAACGCCGGUGGCGAAGCGGCACACUGGGUCUCAACUGACGCUGAG